rnacentral:lncRNA from 1 species
ACGAAGUACUGAUCAUGCCAUUACACUUAAGGAAGGAGCUGAACCAAUAAAUUUUAGGCCUUACCGAUACCCGCACCUUCAAAAGAAUGAGAUUGAGAAACUAGUGAAGGAGAUGCUGGCAGCAGGUUUAAUUCAAUUGAGCAUUAGACCAUUCUUGAGUUCAGUAUUACUUGUGAAAAAGAAGGACGGGAGCUAGCUUUUUUGUGUGGAUUAUCGGGCCCUCAACAUGGUUACCAUUCCAGACAGAUUCCCUAUUCCUGUGAUUGAUGAACUAUUGGAUGAACUCUAUGGAGCAACCAUCUUUUCCAAACUGGACUUGAAGUCUGGGUUCCACCAAAUCCGAGUACACAAGGAAGACAUACCUAAAACGACAUUACGAUCUCAUGUGGGGCACUAUGAGUUCCGGUCAUGCCAUUCAGACUCAUCAACGCAGCUGCCACCUUCCAAUCGCUCAUGAAUUAGGUUUUCUGAGCAUUUAUAUGGAAGUUUAUCUUGGUAUUCUUCAACGACAUCUUGAUCUACAGCAAGGACCUCGAUUCACAUGUCCAGCACCUAGAGGCGACGUUUAACGCUUUAAAAUACAUCAGCUAUAUGCAAAUAUCAAAGAGUGCCAAUUUGCUGAACCAAGGAUUGAGUACUUGGGCCAUUUAGUAUCAGUUGAAUGAGUAGCUGCUGACCCAAGCAAGAUUGUCGCAAUGGUUCAAUGGCCGACACCAUAGACGCUCAGGGAGCUCCGCGGUUUAUUGGGAUGAACAUGAUAUUACCGGUGUUUUGUCACUGGAUAUGGGGCAAUCUCUUGGCCUUUCACACAGCAACUCAAAAAAGAUGUUUUUGGAUGGACACUGGAGGCUGAGGAAGCAUUUCAAAGGCUUAAGAAAGCCAUGUCCACAGUACCAAUUUUCGCUCUGCCAGAGUUCUCAAAAGAAUUUGUGAUCGAGGCCAACGCGUCAAGAUAUGGGUUAGGAGCAGUACUGAUACAGAACCAGCGGUCGAUUGCUUAUUUUAGUCAAGUUAUGUCUCUCUGAUCACAGUAGAAAUCGGUGUAUGAAAGGGAGUUGAUGGCAAUAGUAUUAUCCAUACAAAAAAGGAGACACUACUUAUGGGGUGUCGGUUCAUUGUGAAAACCGACCAAUGCAGCCUCAGAUACAUGCUGUAGUAGAGGGUAAUACCGGGAGAAUUUCAACAAUGGGUAGCCAAGUUAAUGGGCCACGACUUCGAGAUUCAAUAUCGACUCGGAAUCGAGAACAAAGUAGCAGAAGCUUUAUCGUGGGUCCCUGCUCAAGUUGAACUUGUAGCGAUCACAUGCCCGGUGGAGAUUGACUUAUCAUCAAUGUUGGAACAGAUUGAGGAAGAUCCAAGGUUGGCCAAAAUCAAGAGGGAACUUCAAAGUGAUCCAGACUCACACCCACAUUAUUCAUUGGACCAGGGUCGGCUACUGUAUAAAGGGCGCAUAAUUCUACCUAGUUCAUUUACCUUGAUCCCAACCUUACUUCAUGAGUAUCACAGCAGCCCAGUAAGGGGGCACUCAGGAUUUCUUCGAACAUACAAGUGGCUAACUAGUAAUCUAUAUUGGUGGGGCAUGAAAAACGACAUUAAGAAGUUUGUGGAAGAAUGCUCAAUAUGCCAACAGAACAAGAGUUUGUCCCUAUCACCUAUAAGACUCCUUCAGCCUUUGCACAUUCCUAAUCUAGUGUGGAAAGAUAUAUCAAUGGAUUUCAUCAAAGGCCUGACUUGAGGGUGUGACUCAAUAUUGGUAGUUGUUGACCGACUAAGCAAGUAUGGCCACUUCCUUCCUCUUAAGCACCCAUUCAUAGCAGCAGGAGUUGCAUCAAUUUUUGUCAAAGAAGUGGUAAUACUCCACGGCAUUCCACGCUCCAUCGUGUCUGAUCGGGAUAAGAUAUAUUUGAGUCAUUUUUGGACAGAUUUAUUUAGACUACAGGGGACAUUUCUACGAUGCAGCACAGCUUAUCAUCCCCAGACAGAUGGUUAGACAGAGGUUGUCAACAGAUGUGUAGAAACGUAUCUUAGAUGUUUUACAUAUGACAAGCCGCGAACUUGAUGCAGAUGGUUACCAUGGGCCAAAUAUUGGUAUAAUACUACCUUUCACACCUCUACGAACACUACUCCUUUUCGAGCUAUAUAUGGAAGGGAUCCCCUCAUUGAUCCAUUAUGGCAACUUAAAGACAAUAAUUGCUUCAGUUGAUUAGCAGCUGAAGGAGAGGGACAUGAUAUUGGAUGAACUAAAGGUACAUUUCCUAUAGGCUCAAACUAGGAUGAAGAAGGAGGCAGACCAAUGUCGAAGAGACGUUCAGUUCAGCGAGGAAGACUUGGUCUAUGUGAAGUUAUGUCCCUAUCGCCUGCAGUCUCUGGCAAAGAAACCAAACGAGAAGUUAGGUCCAAAGUUUUUUGGUCCCUUCAAAAUAAUCAACCGUAUAGGGCCAGUUGCAUUCCAUUUGGAGCUACCAUCUGAUGCCACCAUACACCCAGUCUUUAAUGUGUCAUAACUCAGAAGGGCACUUGGGAAGACAAAUACUUGUCUGUAGAUUUCGGCCCAUGUGGAUGCAUUGCUAGAGUGGAUGGUCGAGCCUAACAAAGUCCUGGAAGUACGCCAAGCUGCUGCAACACCACCUCCAGGAAAAGAGUUACUUAUACAAUGGAAGGGUCUCCCUGCUUUUGAAGUUUUCUGGGAGCCAGCUGCAUCUAUCAUUCAACACUUUCCUCAACUUCACCUUGAGGACAAGGUGGUUUUGGAAACCGAGGAUAAUGAUAACUCCCUAUCCGGUUCACAUACUCUAGAAGGCCCAAGAAAAUGGGUGUAUUGAGUGGAGGGAAGCAGAAAACAGAAUGAUGUUGAGGGAGGGAAAAGUGGUUAGGAAAUCAGUUAGAACGAAAGUUAAAAAUAAGAGGCUAGUAUGGUAGAAAAAGGCAGAAAAAGAAAAAGAAUUUGAGAGAUGUUUGUGGAUACCUUCAAAUAUGUCAUAAAAUAUGGUUUCUUCUCCAAAGAAUUCAUCGGAGAGAAGGUAUUUGGAAGAUGACAAGCUAAACAUAUUUAAAUGCGUGUAUACUCCUAUACACUACACUCAUAUAAUCAUCAAUAAAAUUCAAUAACAAAGGAAAGGAGAAAACUAGAUAGUGCUCUAAAGUAGCAGUAUCCAUAAGCAACUUAUGCAAGCUUCUGAAAGGACUUCAUAAGGAUACUUUUGGAGCUGGCUUCAGCUAUAUGUGGAAUCAAUGCAGGUUCAUCUAUUUCUUGGAAAAGAGACUAGAAUAGUCAAUUAUAUUACACUGGAGAAAAGAGAUAGGAAAUUUGUUUCAGUUUUGC